UACGGAGGGGGCUAGCGUUGUUCGGAAUUACUGGGCGUAAAGCGUGCGCAGGCGGUUUGCUAAGACCGAUGUGAAAUCCCCGGGCUUAACCUGGGAACUGCAUUGGUGACUGGCAGGCUAGAGUAUGGCAGAGGGGGGUAGAAUUCCACGUGUAGCAGUGAAAUGCGUAGAGAUGUGGAGGAAUACCGAUGGCGAAGGCAGCCCCCUGGGCCAAUACUGACGCUCAUGCACGAAAGCGUGGGGAGCAAACAGG
rnacentral:rRNA from 1 species